rnacentral:lncRNA from 1 species
CAAAAUCAAAAAGGCAGUGCGCCACGAGAACCAUGCGUAUCUGCUAUGCAUAUAAGAAAAUGAAUGAAAUAAUAAACAAGUUAAGGGGAUAGACAUAUGUCUUUAGUUUACAUGUAAAUUUCCCUGUCUCAAACUUUAUUAGCUGGAAUAGUCACACAUCAUAAAAAAUGUUUAUGUCACGUGAAAAACCACCACCAAAUAUAAAAACAAUGAAAUACUAAUAUGAAUAUUUGUUUCUCAACUUUUUGUAAUCAGAUCGUUUAGAUAUCCGUAUAA